CAGUAGCCGCGGUAAUACGAAGGGGGCUAGCGUUGCUCGGAAUUACUGGGCGUAAAGGGAGCGUAGGCGGAUCGUUAAGUUGGGGGUGAAAGCCCGGGGCUCAACCUCGGAACUGCCUUCAAUACUGGCGAUCUUGAGUAUGAGAGAGGUGUGUGGAACUCCGAGUGUAGAGGUGAAAUUCGUAGAUAUUCGGAAGAACACCAGUGGCGAAGGCGACACACUGGCUCAUUACUGACGCUGAGGCUCGAAAGCGUGGGGAGCAAACAGGAUUAGAUACCCCUGUAGUCCCUGUCUCUUAUAC
rnacentral:rRNA from 1 species